UCCAUCCUGGGAGAUCUUCAAGACACGCAGGAACCCUCCCUGUUUACCAAACUGCUAAGGCUUCUUCAGAGAUUAAAAAAAAUCCCCAUCUCUGCCAAACCCUCAAGUUGCCUCAACACUUUCAAGAAGACCCAUUGUGGUCUUGCUGGAGUGUGGAAUUCAGGAUCGAGAUGCAAAAUUAUCAUCUGGCACAGAAGAUCUCACUUCCUCACCCUACAUCAAGGGAAUCUCACCUACAGGACUUGUGGUCACUCCAACGGGUCCCUGUGUGCAGGACACACAAAUGAUGAACAGCCAUCCCUCACAUGUCCUCUCUUCUCCAGCCAUGGUGAGGGCAAGGCUUCCAGAUUCACUUUAUCACGAAUGUGUUCCUCAAUUGUCAUCAUUCCAGGAACAUCUGUUGUAGCAAUUUAUAUUAAGCAUCUUGACUGAUUCUGGAUAAUGUUUACCUGUUUGCAUCCAUUUACUAACUACUUUUCUAUCAGGAAAUUGAAUUCUUUGAAAUCCUCAGGCAAGCCACGUGAGAAAAAAAUAAAAUUGCAUGACAGAAUCUAUGUGGUUUCUAUCACUUAGGUGACUGGCAAAAAUCAAAAUUACAUUCAAAGGUCUUUAUCACAAGCUAAUAAUCACCUAGCACCAGAAUUAAACAAUAGCUAUUAAACAGAAGCAUCAUUUAUAUGGUUUUUCCUGGAAACUCAAGUAUAUUGUCAAUAACAAGGCAGCACGUUUUCACCUCAAUUAUAUGAAGUCACCAAAGCAUAAUACAAAGGGCAUGCAGUGAGCAAAUACCUAGUCCCUCCCAUAUUAAAUUAUGGGUAUAAAAAUCACUUAUUUUUAUGUGCAUUUUCUCAAAGGCUUGAAAGGACCUAUUCCAAAUUCUUAGCAUUCUUGAGGAAAAAGUGGGAAAAGGUAAUAAUGAGACUGUUACAUCCUAUUUUUAAAGGAUCUAUAGGAAGUUUGUUUUUGUUUUUGUUUUUUUAACAAUCUUGUCAUUUUAAAAAUAAGACAGAUGCAAAACGCUGGCAAAGAUGCAACGACAAGGACAUCCAAUGGAAAAGUCAAUGGCUUGUGGCACCAUAAAUCAGUACAACCUUUUUCCACGAAGUGUGCAAGAGCUUUCAAAAUAUUUAUAUCCAUUGACUCACCAAUUAUUUAUUCUGUAAGUUUUCCAUAAUGUGGCUAUGUCAUUUUUUACAAGAACAGCAAUCCAGCUUAAUACGUUUACCGUAUUACAUCUUUAAAAGGCAGGCUCUGGAAAUGUAGCUAAACAACAGUACAGUUGAUUCCCAUUAGAUGCAGUAGUUACAUUCUUACAAAGUCACCACUAACCCUGAACUGGCCAAUACUGGACCAUUCCUCCCAGGCAAAAUACGGGCCUUUAGAUUCCUGGGAGCCUCCGGUCACCACAUUUUCAUCAACUGAUCAAACCAUGGCCUGGUUUUAUCUGUGUUUUUUUUUAAAGACCUCUAGAUUUAUCAUUAAUACUGAACUCACAGCCAAGACCACUGUAACUCCCACCUGAAGGAAGCUCAUCUAACACAUGUAUUUUCUCUAUAAAGCAUGGAACAGCCGUAUUGCACUUAGGAACACUAGACAACACUACACUACACUUGGGGGGCAUUUCAAAAUCAAAAUCACCAAUAAAAAAAAAACACAAAAAUCUGAAAA